CCUGCUAUCCGUGUACCGCUGGAAAGCUUCUGCGUGAGCAACAAUUUUUUUUCCCCCAAAUUCCUGAGCAUUCCCUUUGGGUGCCAAGUGCGCCGUGACCUCUUCAAAUUCAUAACGAGCAUGGGAUAAACAGAAAGCAGCAGCUCAAGUCAUCCACAGAAAUCAACUCUGGCUGCCUUGAGCUGAGAAGGGAUGUACUGAAAAGAUGGCAGCUGCCCACGGAGAACCAGGACUGGGAGCUGCACUGCCCAGACAAUGCCCAGAUGCAGAAACGGAGUCUUGGAGGAAGAACUGACUUGUCCAAGUCCAAGCAGGGACACGAUGGAAUCGACUAACUCGAAGGCCAGGAUUUCACGAUGGUUCCCAACCAUGCUGGGAUUCCGACGGAUCUGGAAAAUUGGUGGUGAGUCCACGGGCAGCAGCAGAGUGUCUCUGGGAAAAGCACACUGUGGGAAAGAGGUCUGAGCAUGACCAGCUUGCUCAAGGUAGAAAACCUGCACUGUAGGGUACUGGGGAGGAUUAAAGAUCCUGACUAUGACACAGGAAGCGAUUUGUCCCUGAUGUCUCCCAGGACAGCUGUGGGGACCAGCAUCAGAGUUCUGAGAGCCAGAGAGUGGAAGGUGAGAACUGAAAAGGGUGGCCCAGCCCAGGCUGUAACAUGUCAUCACUUUGAACAACUAAGGUGGGAGUAGCUCAGGGCGGGGGCGGCCUGGGCCCUCUCCUCUCUGCUGACCACCGCGAGGUUCUGUACCGGGAGUUCCCAGUCAUGAGCGGAGGUGCCCGGAGCGGUGGGCACAUGCCGUGGGGGGCUAUAGCGAGUGCACGUGACACUCUCCUGAGACUUCUCUGUGAUACCUGGGGAGGAAGAGGUUUACUGAAGCAGGGGCGCACGCGUGGCUGCCAAGGAGGACUGGCGGCAGUGGCCCUUGACAGCUCAGUGUCCAUGUUAAUGUGCGCCUCAGUGGAACCUCCAGGCUGAGUGGUGGGUGCUGAAUGCACUCUGUUUGCUGCUCAGAUCUGCUCUCCUGCUUCCCCCUCUGCCGCUCUGGGCCCCACAGACGGGGAUGUGUGACUUUCAGAACUGGGACCCUUUCAUUUUGGCUUCGGGAGGCACUCGUAGAUCAGCGUCCAGAGUUGUCAUGGACCGACUACACCCCAGCACAGUCUCCAAGGCAACUAGGAGACAACCCUCCCCAUGCCACCCUCUGUCUAGAGUCUAACAACCACCUCCACCCCACAAACCCCAUCUGUACUGUUCUAGGCCAAGGAGGUGAUGGCCAACAGAUGUUCCCAGCCCCAUGGGUUUCUCUGGCCCAGGUGGGUUCCCUGUACCCUGACCAAACCUUGGUAAAGGGUUCCAGUGUUACACUCCCUUAGUUACUCAGUUUAAAUGUCCCAUCUGUUUUCAACCAAGACCGAUAGAACAAAAGCUGGAAUCUCCUAAGAGCUAACCUGCUCCAUGAAGUAUCAAUUGAACUUUGUUAUUCCUUGGCCUGCAUGGGAAUGGGGUUUGUCAGUCUUGACACCUGUCACACUGUUUGGCACUUUGGGGCCCUGUCCAGUUGACCCUGGAUCUGUCACUGUUGGAGUCAAUGUCUUAGGCCAGGGAGUUCCUGCAAAAAAACUGAGCAAAAACAUCAUGGAAACAGCUGCUCCAGGGGCUUAAAAAAAAAAGUCAAGGACACCAAAUCCUUAAAGGCACAAAAAGGAUGACAGGGCCUGAGCUCACCUAUGAUUGCAUUUAGGUUUGGAAAGAAGUUUUACUGCUGCCCCAGCAAUCCCAUAGGGAUCAGCACGGUCUCUCCCAUCAGCUGUCAAGCCUCACUGGACCCAGUUGCACAUGGCCCGGGCUUAGCCAAGCUAGAAAAGCUAGAAGCAGUGUCUGAUCCCACUCUGCCCCUGUCUGCAAUUCUGGUGUCUGGAGCCAUCUCUGCAGAAUCCAAGGUGUCUUGUGACCCCAGGCAGAGCCAGGGGUGGUGGGCGGGGGGAUGGCCAGGGACUGCUUACUGCCCCCUGCCCCUUUCUGGGAGAAGGGGCUGUGAGCCUACUCCCCAGUCAAUGAGCUCAUGCCUGUCAGGGCUGUUUGUUGAACCAAAAAUGUACCCACUCCAGGUCCAUGGAGGAGUGACUCACUGUGCCCAGAUCUCCUCCCCUAGCAAGGAGAGAGCCCAGGACCCAUAGCCAGCUCCCCAGCCUGGCUUGUUGCGGGCUCUGGCUGUAUCUCUCCCUUGGAAAUGCCCUGACUCGUUACUGUCCAGGGUGCCGAAUCUGGAGAUGAGGAGCUUUCAGCAGAAGCCUCCCUGGGCAGGAGUCCCUGGUUUCUCCUAUGGCUGAACUUGCACCUUCUCAAGGAUUUUCAUCCACUAGAAGCAAUGAUGGGGCCUAGAGUCAAGACAGAAAUCAUCCAAAAGAUAGCGAGUGAGAGAGACAAGGAGAGCAUCAGUUUGACUCAUGGACGUCCCCCAAGGGCCUCCGUGUACAGCCAUGCAGGUUGCACUGCACAACUGCAGGGGGCGCCGUGCACUACAAGAUCAUCCUACAUUGGCAGUGCUACCAUGAUGGCUUUCUGGUUGAUGGCAGAAAGUGAGCUGAGGUGAGGGUACCUGCCUCUAAUUCACACAGUUCAGCAGAACCCACGCCAACUCCCGAGACCCCAGCUCAGUCAGCUAGUUCAAAAUCCAGGGAUGGGAAACAUCCGCUUCUCCAUCCAUCCCCUGAAGCACGUGUGCCACCCCGGGGGGCCUCUGAUGGGGCCUUCUCCUUCUCCAUCUAUCCCCACAGAGCAGUGAAGGCACCCACAAGGCCUCAGGGUACAGCUCCAUAAAUUCUCUUUUCAUUGGAGGCCUAGCAGAUCAUAAUUUAAAGAACUAGUCACUGCUUGCAAUUAAACACAGAGAAAAUAGAUCAGGCCCAUAAUUUAUGUCUGCGCAAGGUUGGGCUGGAUUCGUAAUUAAUGUUUGCUCCCUUUAAUGAAAUACUCAAAGGUCUGCACUUCUGUCAUUCAUGAAGGUAAUUUUUCAAUUGAUUAGUAAAAUAAUACUUGAAAAGUAAAUGCACCUGCUUCUUCCCCGAAAUGUCUCAGUCAACCGGACACACUGGUUGGGACGCUAAAAAAAUACCACUGGAAUCCAGUGGAGACCGCGCCCGGCACCAUCAGCAUGCAAAGAGCCCAAGAAGGAGGCGAGAGGAAAAAGUAAUUAGAGCUGCCGCGGUGACCAGAAUUCCUGGGUGGCCCAGGGCUACGGCUGUCCGGCCCAGCUCCUGCCUGCCGUGGAGACGUCAGCGUGGGCAGGGAGUGGGGAGGGCAGACUUUGCUGGCCGGGCGGCGGAGGGGGGAGGGGAGGUGCAGCAAAGGUCAGGUGGAACCCAGUGCCCAGAUUGCCCGGUGCCGCGGUCCACGGGGGAUGCCGGGAGAGCACCAGGCCCCGUGAUGCCGCUCGGGGUGGAAACUAGCACUUCUCAGUCCUCAGCGGACGCUUGCUUGGAACCUUCUCGAAAACGGAGACUCAGAGUUAUGAAAAUGAUUGCAUUUUAUGUUCUAGGACAUGAAACAGGGGCGGUAAAGGCCAUCGCGCUAAUUCUGAGAGUAAAUAAAAACUCCGGGAUUGAUUUCGGGGUGAUUUUUCAGUCCGGAUGGUUUAAUGGCGCUGCAGACCAUCUUCCUGUUGAUGGAUUUUUCGCAUGCGCACAUCAAGAGGGUGAUUUGGACAAAACCGCUCAGAGGCGGCGUCCAUUUUCCAAGUCCGUUUUUCAUCUUUGAAACGUGAAGGACUUGCCUAUCAAUUAUUGAGCAUCAAAUAUUGAACGCGGCUCCUGACUCUCUUUUCUUCUUCUCGCAGGUCAGCGCGGGCGCGAGGGGCGCUGCGUGGGCGUCCGGGGGGCCUCCGGUACCGCGUCGGUCCGCUUUAGGAGAUCUCGCCUCUGUAGGUGCACCAACUGUCUCUGCUUGCAGUCAGCCUACACUUUAAUGCUGAAUAUUUGACGCAACAAAUGGGUGUCACUAGUGACCAGGGGAGAGAGACUAAUUUUACAAGGGGUCAGCUCAUUACCGAUUGUCUCCUUGUCUCCUGGCAAUGCAAUGUAUCUUUGCAAUUGUGGCUUCUUCACCAGGAGGCCCGGGGUGAUAAACAGUCAACUAACAAGCACUCCCCCGGACCCGCUUCCUAAACGUGCUGGGCGGGGUUGCCCGCACAGAGGGUGUCCCUUGGGACUCUCCUUUUCACCACCAGAAAUGGACUGCUCAUUUAAGCAGAAAGGGGCUUUUUACAAGAACAUGCUGCCGGAAAAGACAUAGACUCCCCUGUAGUGAACAGGAGACAGGAGCUAAGGCAGCCAGCAGUCACCAGCCUCAUCCGUGUGAGAAGUCCCCACGGUGGCCACACACUCCACCCACCCAGGGCUGCAGGCGGGGCUGGGCCAGUCUGCUGUUUCCUGCACCACCGUUCCUAUUCCAGACAAUGCCUGUGCCUCCGCCCUCUGCAAGGGGAGCAGGAGAGCCUCUGUGGCUCUCACGGGCAAUGAGCUCCGUCCCCCAAGCCUCCUCUGGAGGGGCUUCUCCCAGCAUAAGAGGAGGAUUCACGUAGUGGGAUCCCCGAGAGAGAGGAGCCUCUCCAGAAGAGAUGCGUCUCGGUCCCGUCCUAACUUCCUUCCCGGUCACGCGCGUGACACACCUGCUACACUGGGCCGUCUCACGUUGUGUCCUCCAACUCCCAUUGUGAAGCAGGAGUACGACCCCAGUGUCCGGAUGAGGAGACUGAGCUCAUAGAGAUGAAAGGACUUGGCUGACACACACGGAUGGGUCGUGCUCGAGUCAGGACUGCCUUUGGCUUCUGUUGUGAUUCUAGGGCUCCUGCCCCCAAAGACACAGUAGAAGGGCCCUGGAAGGCUGGAGGGAGUUCCCAUCUCUUGCUUCAUUUGGUUUGCUAGGUGAGGGUCCAGGACCCUGAGUGCUGGCCACGCUCCUUAUCCUGCUAAUUCAUGGCCGGUAUCCCAGCACCUAACACAAAGUCAGGCACGCAGUAGGACGGCAGGACAUGACCUUUCCCACUGAGAAAAGAGAGACAAAAAGACAGAAAGAGAUCUUGUAUCUGUUCAUUCACUCCUUCAAUGCCCACAAUGGCCAGAGCCAAAACCAGGAGCUGGGAACUCAAUCGGGUCUCCCACAUGGGUGGCAGGAACCCACUCACCUGAGCCAUCCCUGCUGCCCUCCGGCUGCAGGAAGCUGUAGGCAGGGGUCAGAGCCGAGAAAGGAACCACGGCACCCGAUGUGUAGCCGCCAGUCUACUCGCCUGCUGCCGUCUUUCCCAUAUUUGAGACCACUAAGAAGAGCAAUGCUCCAGUGCUCAGUCCUUGUCGGCUAUUAAUAUUUCUCUUUGGAGGCAGGCAUUGUGGAGCAGUGGGUUAAGCUGCAGAUGGAACUGCCUGCAUCUUCCAUCAGAGUGCUGGUCCGAGUCCUGGCUGCUCCACUUCUGUCCCAGCUUCCUGCUCAUGUACCCUGGGAGGCAGCAGAUGAUAGUCCAAGUGCUUAGUCCCUGUCACCAUGUGACAGACCAGGAUGGAGUUCCUGGCUCCUGGCAUUGGCCUGGCCCUACCUUGGCUGUUGCAGGCUUUUGGGGGAGUAAACCAGCAGAUGGAAGAUUCUCCCCACCCUCCGUUGUUCUGCCUUUCAAGGAGAUGAAAACAGAUAAAUAAACAGUAAAUAUACACAUUUGACCUUGGCCAAGAAUACAAAUGUCUGCAUUAAGGUCUGUGCCUACCAGCGACGUUGACCUUCAACCCUCAGUGCCCUCUUGUCUAAGAAGGAGAGAGAGACGACUUAGAGGCUGCAAUUGAUGGCCUUUGGCUCCGGAUUUGACCCCAGAGACGUUCUAUUCAUCUGUGCAAGAUGAACCCCAAUUUCGGCCGUGGUCUCCCCAGCCCUGAGGCUGGUGCUCACCUGAGAACCAGGGCUAUUGUUUAUCUGAUAUCUCUCAAAAAUAGGGAAGCCAAAGACGGCUCAGAGAGCUGCGUGUCACAAGAAAAAUGGGAAGUGUGCUCGGUUACCUAGUAACUUCCAUCAUCGGACAGCACCCGUGUAGACCACGUGGUCGCACGACGUCACAACCCCUGCCUCUCCGCUGUUCCGUGUGGGAGCCACUAGCCACAGGUGGCCAUUCACAUUUAAUUUCAAAAUAGUUAAAAUGAAAUGCAGGGGGCCAGCGCUGUGGCAUAGCUGGUAAAGCUGCCACCUGCAGUGCUGGCAUCCCAUAUGGACGUGUAUUCGAGUCCCGGCUGCUCCACUUCCGAUCCAGCUCUCUGCUAUGGCCUAGGAAAGCAGUGGAAGAUGGCCCAAGUCCUUGGGUCCCUGAGCCCAGGUGAGAGGCCUGGAAGAAGCUGCUGGCUCCUGGCUUUGGAUCCGCUCAGCUCCGGCUGUUGAGGCCAUUUGGGGAGUGAAUCAGGUGGAUGGAAGAUCUCUCCCUCUCUCUCUCUCUCUCCCUCUCUCUCUCUCUUUCUGCCUCUCUG